AACUACCAUGUUUUGCAUCAAGAAGGUGAAGUUUAUGAUGCUAUUCUGAAUCAGACAAAUGUUGGAGAAAACAAUAACAAAUUCUAUGUUAUUCAAGCUCUAGAAUCUGAUGAUGGUAGGACAUUCAUGGUUUACAAUAGAUGGGGUAGAGUUGGGGUGAGAGAUCAAGAUAAGUUACAUGGCCCCUACACAUCACGAGAAAGAGCGAAA